GGCUGCAGGCUCAGAGGUGAGAGAGAGAGAAGGCCCUGCAGACUCCCAGGGCAUUUUUCAGCCACACCCACCUCCUCAGAUUCAUUAACACCUCCCACCUAACACAGAGAUAGCUGUGCUCUGCCAGCAACUCAUGAACGCAGUUAUCAAAGCACAAAGAACCCCUGCAGCACAGCUCAUCAAGCCGUGGCCAGAACCCUUAACCAACAUUAAGAAGUCUAGCUACACUCCUGGAGUCCAGCUAACAUGGAGAAACCAUACAGAGAGGCCACAUGGAGCGGUGGGGACAUGAGAAUGUGCAGGGAGGGAGAGGAGUCCAGCUGCCUCAUAAUCCUACCGGAGCCCAGGCAUCAGCCAUCUCUGCCAACCUGCAGCACGAGUGAGGACGCGAGUGUGCCACCUGGCAAGUGGAUCCUCUGGCCCCAGUCAAGGAGCUGCAGCUGAUGGUGCAUGGAGCAGAGAGAAACUGCCCUGCUGAGCCCUGCCAAAAUCAUAAAAUUAUUGAUGAUGAGGAACUUCUCCUGGAGGAGCAGAUGUUGGUUCAGUUGCUCCUGAGUGAAGCCCAAUCCUCAGGUUCCAUCGCUAUUCACAGGGUGACAGCUAUCGCUUGUAUGGAGAUACCAAAGCUGCAUGGGAGACAUCAAGGACCAGGGGUCACAGUUCUCUCCUUGACCUCAUAUGGAAGGACAAUUGAGUG
rnacentral:lncRNA from 1 species